CCUACGGGUGGCAGCAGUAGGGAAUAUUGCUCAAUGGGGUAAACCCUGAAGCAGCAACGCCGCGUGGAGGAUGAAUGCUCUCGGAUUGUAAACCCUCUUUGUUAGAGAAGCUACUCACGCUAUCUAACGCAUAACUACCGGUUAACUCCGUGGCAGCAGCCGCGGAAACACGGGGGGCGGAGGCGUUACUCGGAAUUAUUUGGCGUAAAGAGCGCGUAGGCGGGAUAGCAAGUUAGGUGGGAAAUCCUAUGGCUUAACCAUAGAACUGCAGUUGAAACUGGUGUUCUGGAGUGUGGGAGAGGUAGGUGGAAUGCGUGGUGUAGCGGUGAAAUGCAUAGAUAUCAAGAAGAAUUCUGAUUGCGAAGGCAGCCUACUGGAGCAUAACUGACGCUGAUGCACGAAAGCGUGGGUAGCGAACAGGAUUAGAUACCCUUGUAGUC
rnacentral:rRNA from 1 species